GCUGGGGUGGUGAAAACAAGUCGACGGACUGGAUAGACACACCCGAAAGGGCGGGCCAAUGUUGAAUGCUGUGUGGUGCACUACCUCUUACAAUAAGCUCAUGCAGGUUCGAUUCCUGCCCCCAGCA
rnacentral:tRNA from 1 species